GUUGUUCUGUAGUUCCUAUCAUUGACAUGACACUCAUGAGCAUUGUUGAUUUCUUCAUGAUAUCUUGUAUCAUUCUGUGUUUUAUAAAUAACACCAACACAAAAGUUUUUGAAUGGUAAUCUUUUCCUGUGGUAAUGCAGAGGAAGCAGUGGAAGGCAUAAACAACAUCCAAAGUCCCUGUGACCUGGAAGGGUUUUCCAAUGGUGAAGAAAAGCAGAACGAGAAGGAUAAAAACUUAUCAGAAGGAACUUCUAAAAAUGGUGGAGGCCGUUUUAGACGUUUCCUACAUCAAAUGAAAAGCUGUCUGAGACCUCAGAGAGGAAGGGGGGAGAGUUCGGAGGAGACUUCAAAGCAACUUGAGAGCCUCGUUUUUGUAUAUAUGAUCCUCAAUCAUAGAUACAAAAAAAAAGAUGGAAGAGGAAAGAUGGGAAGGAGAAGCACUGAGGAAGAGAGGAAGCAGUGGAAGGUGAAGACAACGUCCAAAAGUCUGUGCGACCUGGAAGGUACGAACGGGUGCAACUGGGGAGGAGCCAUAAGGAUGAGUCUCAUCAUUUCUCCAUUGUCAAAAGUACUGUUUAACCUUUUUUUUUCUUCACUCCACCAUUGUAGUCCUGUUGGCUCUUCUUAG
rnacentral:lncRNA from 1 species